GGGGUUGUGAUUUGCCUCAAGGACUUGGACAUUCAGCAGGAAGGGAAGGCAUGCCAUGGAAAAGAACUGACUCUCUCCAUCUCAUCUACAUUUGAGUAUUUUUAACCAGGCCUCAGAUCAGGAUCAGACUGACCUGAGAUUUUCAACAUGGCUGCUGCGUGGUUGAAGGGUGUGCAACCUCGGAUUUGUUUGGACUACAAAGAUACCCUUAAUAAAUGAUUUAAUAAAUGAUUUGCGAAUUUCACCAGCAUUGUCAACCAUAGCCGCCACAGUCACGUGUGCACCAGUUCACUGCAGAGCCCACCCCCAUGACACACCUUAAUAAACAAGCUGCUUUGAGUGGAGAUAUUUGCGAGAAACACAACAAACGUGAAUCGGACACUUGCACAGAGCACUGGUAUGUCAGAGAUACGAGACGACAACAAACUGGAAUCGGAAUCUGUGGAUGUUCUUGUGGGCAGGAUGCUCCAUCUCUCUGCGGCUUGCAGUGGAUUUAUACCCGCAGAUUUAGCCAGCGGUUCAGUCCCGUUCUGUGGAUCUAAACAGACUGGUGUGGACCAAGUUUGUUUCGGUCUGAGGAGGUCCGGUUACACGAGGACAACAAACUGGAACCAGAACGUGCGGAUGUUCCUGUGGAUGUGGGUAGAUAGAUGCUACCCUACACACUCUUGAUGUGGGCUAUCCAUAGAAUCUUCACUCCCUUGGCCCUACACAUUCUGAAUGUCUGGAUACUCUCUGUACUCGUCUGUAAGUUACACUCUUAUGUCUCAAAGUGUUUCUCCAGGCUUAACUUCAUGCUGGUGCGUUUACUACUUGCUUACAUUGUGAUUACUGCUCCGGUUAGCCAACUGUAAUUGAAGAAGAAAUUCUUCAAUCCAUUAAAAAAAAAAAAAGUUAAGGUUAGUUCAGACAUGUAAAACUUACAAACACAAAGAACAAAUGCGUGUACACACCCAUCCAGCUGAGGAGAGGGGACUUCUUCUUGAAUUGCCUUUCCCGAGGUUUCUUCCCGUGUCCUUUCAAGAUUGUUCUGAGGGUCAUGGCAACUUGUUCCCUGCUUCUUAGAGAGCUUGGGCUCGGUAGCUGUUCCUGAUCUGGGUCUGCAACGCCCACUGACACCAUCACCAACAAUACAAAUGAAAUGAGUUCAAAUAAAAGAAACCGGCUUAAAAAAACAAACAAACAAAAAAAAACAAUAGUCAGCUGUACUCGAAGCCCUGUACUGUACAUGAAUGCAGCUCUUGCCCCACAGGUGCAGUAGGCAGUGCGUCAGUCUCAUAAUCUGAAGGCCGUGAGUUUGAACCUCACACGGGGCAGUGGUUCAUGAAGCUCCUUUGGUGUGCAGGAGGCACUCCUGAUGACUUUCUAUGACUCUGUAGUGGCUUUGGUCAUUUUUCUAUGGAAGGAAGAGACUUUAGAAGUCCAGCUCUAUCACAGCACUGGGCAGCUCCAUCAGCGAUAGACUGAUAAAACCCAAGUGAGUGAAGGAGAGGUAUCACAGGUCCUUCUGUCCAGCUGCUGUCAGACUCCACAACCAGCACUGCUCCCACUAAACCUCACUGUGCAAUACAAACUCUUUUACAUAACCCAUUUCUCUUUUUGGUUUUGCACUAACUGGGCAAUUUUCAUACCCAUGUUUAUUACACUGCCACACUGUUUAUAUUACACUGUUUAUAUUUGUAGAUAGUAUGUAUAUAUGAGUAUUACCAUUUCUUGAUUUUUAUUUAUUUUUCACUAUUAUCAUUGUUUUUUGUAAUAUGACUGUCCUUUGGCUCCUUUGACGGACAUAUUUCUCAGUUUGCAGGACUGAUAAAGGAAUUCUCAUUCUGACACUAGAGUGUUAGAAGGUUAUGUGCGUUGUCGUAAAUUGACUUCACUUUUCUUGGUUGGUCCAAAACAUUUCGAAGAUCAAAAAAGUCACCAGGAGCUUCAUGGCUGAGUGCAGCAGAAAUGUAUUUGCCGGCAGACAAAGAAUGAGAUCAGACACAGACAAAAUCUGUGAAAAAACUGACCCGAGGUUUAAAGCACUGAGCAUCCUCUUUUAAAACCAAAAAACUGGGAAUGUCUUCUCAACCAAUCCCUGCUCUUCUUGAUUUCUGCUGACACUGCUAUUUUUCCUCUGGAAAAUCCCUGUUCUUCCUUCCGCACCUGCGCGUAGCUUCGGUGUACGUGACUCCAGUAUGUCUGACUCCAUGCAUAACUGCAUGUACACCAGUAGCUGUUUGCCUCGCUUUGUUUUGUUGAAACAGGUGCUUUUCCUCUACAUAUAUAAUUGGCUCUUACAAACUCUGGCCUUCAGGCUUUUUGAUACCCCAAUUCCCUUCUUGAUAUACCCCAAUAUAUCUGAUCACGCUUGGCACUGCAUUUUUAAAGAACAAUAAAAGUGCUGUGUAUUUGGUUCACACUUCACCUCAUCACACUGCAGUGAGUAGAUGCAUUUUUCAAUCAGAUGGUGCUGGGUAGUAAGUCUCAGCAUAUCCUUCAUACUUGAUUACCCUUCAUUUCUUAUCUUUAUCAUUAUAGCAGUUAUUAUCAGUUAUCAAUAGUCACUACUGUGGUUAUUUUAUAUUGAACAAGCAUGUGUGUGGCUUACUGCGUGUGUUUAUAUGAAGAACAUGGUAAUCCCUUUAAUGAUGCAUGUGUUUGUGAGAAUGACUGUUUCACUCCAUUUAAAAGUGAAAGCAUUCAGACUGCAACCCUUGAUAUCAUAACUCCUGACUACACAGUGUCCAUUACCCAGAUGUUGCUCUCUAGAAUGGAACCGAACUCACUGCGGAAGUCAGGUAAAUGAUCAUAGCUGUCAGACAGUUCUAAGAGCAUCCCACAUGUACGUCCAAUUGGCCUUCUCGUGAAAUUGAUCUGAACUGUAAAGUCAACCUUAAUAACACCAGAAACCAACGAAUCAGAGCCAGUGCAGAACCUCAAAAAUCUCCCAAGGUUUUCUUCAUUAAGUUCCCCUGACGUAUCUUUUCAGGUGCUCUGCCUGCUUGGAUGUCACCCUUGAAGGAAAGUUUAAUAUUCCUGCUACUUUCUUUGGGGUGGGGUGUGAGGUCACUAUACAUUUUGGUCAGUUCCCCAGAGCUGAGAUGAAUCUGUGUCUGUGUGAUCUCUCUGCAGCAGUCGAUGACAAGCUUUGGUUUCUGCACCAGUUCCUUGUGAGAUAUUUCAUCUGAGAUUUCUGGAAGAGUAGCAGCAGUGACCCUCUUCCGACAUUCAUAUCUGUCAAGCACUUCAAGAAGGUCAUCAUCAUCAGCAGAGCUAAAAUCAUCCAAUGCAUGCCUGAGGACGUCUUGUUCUUGUGAGCUCACAAACUAAAAAAAGCUUGCCUUCAGA